GGUUGAUCCUGCCAGUAGUCAUAUGCUUGUCUCAAAGAUUAAGCCAUGCAUGUCUAAGUAUAAGCUUUUAUACGGCGAGACUGCGGAUGGCUCAUUAAAUCAGUUAUAGUUUAUUUGAUGGUUCCUUUUUCUUUUUACUACUUGGAUAACCGUAGUAAUUCUAGAGCUAAUACAUGCAUACAAAUCUCGACUGGGAGUCAUAUCUCUGGAAGGGAUGUAUUUAUUAGAUAAAAAACCGAUGCAGGGUGGCUUGCUGCCCUGGACCCAACGGUGAUUCAUAAUAACUCAACGAA
rnacentral:rRNA from 1 species